rnacentral:rRNA from 1 species
UACGGAGAGUGCAAGCGUUAUCCGGAUUCACUGGGUUUAAAGGGCGCGUAGGCGGAUGAGCAAGUCUGUGGUGAAAUCCCCCGGCUUAACCGGGGAACUGCCGUGGAUACUGCACAUCUCGAGGAAGAUAGGGGCGUCUGGAACUAGCGGUGGAGCGGUGAAAUGCGUUGAUAUCGCUAGGAACUCCGGUGGCGAAGGCGAGACGCUGGAUCUUUUCUGACGCUGAGGCGCGAAAGCCAGGGGAGCGAACGGG